AACAUUUAAGGUCACAGUGACCUUGACCUUCAAAUGAAUGACAUUGAAAUGACCAGUGGUCAUCUUCUAGUACUGGCCAAUCUUUAUUUCAAGUUUGAAGACUCUAGGUACAAGCAUACCAAAGUUAUAACAUGAAAUAAGAACUUUAACAUUUUUACAUUCAAGGUCACAGUGACCUUGACCUUCAAAUGAAUGACCUUGAAAUGUCCAGUGGUUACUUACUAGUUCUGGCCAACCUUCAUGUCAAGUUUCAAGACUCUAGGUCCAAGCAUACCAAAGUUAUAACAACUUUAACAUUUUUAUAUUGAAGGUCACAGUGACCUUCACCUUCAAAUGAAUGACCUUGAAAUGACCAGUGGUCAUCUGUUAAUCCUGGCCAACCUUCAUGUCAAGUUUGAAGACUCUAGGUCCAAGCAUACCAAAGUUAUACCAUGAAAUAAGAACUUUAACAUUUUUACAUUCAAGGUCACAGUGACCUUGACCUUCAAAUGAAUGACCUUGAAAUGACCAGUGGUUACUAACUAGUUAUGGCCAACCUUCAUGUCAAGUUUCAAGACUCUAGGUCCAAGCAUACCAAAGUUAUAACAACUUUAACAUUUUUUAUAUUGAAGGUCACAGUGACCUUGACCUUCAAAUGAAUGACCUUGAAAUGACCAGUGGUCAUCUGUUAAUCCUGGCCAACCUUCAUGUCAAGUUUGAAGACUCUAGGUCCAAGCAUACCAAAGUUAUACCAUGAAAUAAGAACUUUAACAUUUUCGAGCACGCCGCCACCCCGCCCGCCCGACAACAUCAAUCUAUAA